GACGAACGCUGGCGGCGUGCUUAACACAUGCAAGUCGAACGGAAAGGCCUUUUCGGUGGUCCUCGAGUGGCGGACGGGUGAGUAACACGUGGGUGAUCUGCCCUUCACUCUGGGACAAGCCUGGGAAACUGGGUCUAAUACCGGAAAGGACCGCACUUUUGUGUGGGUGGGGGAAAGAUUUUUCGGGGUAGGUUGAGCCCGCGGCCUAUCGGCUUGUUGGUGGGGUAAUGGCCUACCAAGGCGGCGACGGGUAGCCGGACUGAGCGGUUGGGCGGCCACAGUGGGACUGAGAUACGGCCCAGACUCCGACUGGAGGCAGCAGGGGGGAAGCUUGCACAAUGGGCGCAAGCCUGAUGCAGCGACGCCGCGUGGGGGAUGACGGCCUUCGGGUUGUAAACUCCUUUCGCCAGGGACGAAGCGUUUUGUGACGGUACCUGGAGAAGAAGCACCGGCUAACUACGUG
rnacentral:rRNA from 1 species